GACUUCACUUGGGAGGUUGUCAAGCCACUCAAGUGGGACAAGGCCCAGGCAUAAUUGGAGUUUUUCAGAUUAAUUCUACGCUUGAUUUAUUGGCUGGUGCUCUCUACCAUACGACUCUGCCUAUUGGCUUUUCUUACAAUUUCCUUCAUUACCUCUCUACCAUACGAGUCUGCCUAUUGGCUCUUACAAUUUCCUUCAUUUUUGUUUGUUUUCAUGUGUUCUUUUGAAAUUUCAUUAGAUUUAUAUUUAUAC
rnacentral:lncRNA from 1 species